rnacentral:rRNA from 1 species
CCUACGGGAGGCAGCAGUGAGGAAUAUUGGUCAAUGGCCGAGAGGCUGAACCAGCCAAGUCGCGUGAGGGAAGACGGCCCUACGGGUUGUAAACCGCUUUUGUAGGGGAGCAAAGCGAGUCACGUGUGUCCCACUGAGAGUACCGGAAGAAAAAGCAUCGGCUAACUCCGUGCCAGCAGCCGCGGUAAUACGGAGGAUGCGAGCGUUAUCCGGAUUUAUUGGGUUAAAAGGGUGCGCAGGCGGAUUGGCAAGUUAGCGGUCAAAUUGCGGGUCUAAACCCCGUACUGCCGUUGAAACUGCUGGCCUGGAGUGCGCGAGGAGUAUGCGGAAUGCGUGGUGUAGCGGUGAAAUGCAUAGAGAUCACACAGAACUCCGAUUGCGAAGGCAGCAUACCGA